rnacentral:rRNA from 11 species
GUUUACGGCCAUACCACCCUGAACACGCCCAAUCUCGUCCGAUCUCGGAGGCCAAGCAGGGUCGGGCCUGGGAAUACCAGGUGCUGUAAGCU